UUGCUCUUCAACGAGGAAUGCCUAGUAAGCGCAAGUCAUCAGCUUGCGUUGAUUACGUCCCUGCCCUUUGUACACACCGCCCGUCGCUACUACCGAUUGAAUGGCUCAGUGAGGCUUCCGGACUGGCCCAGAGAGGUCGGCAACGACCACUCAGGGCCGGAAAGCUAUCCAAACUCGGUCAUUUAGAGGAAGUAAAAGUCGUAACAAGGUCUCCGUUGGUGAACCAGCGGAGGGAUCAUUACAGAGUUGCAAGACUCCCCAAACCAUCGCGAACCCACCCCUAAACAGUUGCUUCGGCGGCGCCCGAAGGCCCUAGCGGCCGGACCGCCCGCCGGGGACCCCCCAAACUCUUGUUUCCAGCGAACGGCCUCUCUGAGUUACUGUACUGUAAUAAGUCAAAACUUUCAACAACGGAUCUCUUGGUUCUGGCAUCGAUGAAGAACGCAGCGAAAUGCGAUAAGUAAUGUGAAUUGCAGAAUUCAGUGAAUCAUCGAAUCUUUGAACGCACAUUGCGCCCGCGAGUAUUCUCGCGGGCAUGCCUGUUCGAGCGUCAUUUCAACCAUCAAGCCCCCGGCUUGUGUUGGGGACCUGCGGCUGCCGCAGGCCCUGAAAUCCAGUGGCGGGCUCGCCGUCGCACCGAGCGCAGUAGCACACUUCUCGCUCCGGGAGCGCGGCGGGCGCCUGCCGUAAAACCCCCCCACGCACCAAAGGUUGACCUCGGAUCAGGUAGGAAUACCCGCUGAACUUAAGCAUAUCAAUAAGCGGAGGA
rnacentral:rRNA from 1 species